rnacentral:rRNA from 1 species
CAGUCGCCGCGGUAAUACGUAGGUGGCAAGCGUUGUCCGGAAUUAUUGGGCGUAAAGCGCGCGCAGGCGGCUUCCCAAGUCCCUCUUAAAAGUGCGGGGCUUAACCCCGUGAUGGGAAGGAAACUGGGAAGCUGGAGUAUCGGAGAGGAAAGUGGAAUUCCUAGUGUAGCGGUGAAAUGCGUAGAGAUUAGGAAGAACACCAACGGCGAAAGCACUCUGCUGGGCCGACACUGACACUGAGAGACGAAAGCUAGGGGAGCAAAUGGGAUUAGAUACCCGCGUAGUCCCUGUCUCUUAUACA